AAGGAUUUUAUAAAAAAUAGCGCUAACUAACCUCUAAUGGGUAUCGUGCACUUUGAGUGUGCCUAAUGAAACAUGUUUGCUGUAACAUCUCCGUCGCUCUGCUGGACUUUACUGUGUGUCUGCCUCGUGGGGUUUAUCUGUGCAGCAGGAUCAUUUGUAGUGAAUGUGACUCAGACCUCCUAUCAGGCAGAGGAGAACCACAACAUCACACUGGAGUGGACGUUCACAGUAGAAACAGGCAGAUCCCCCACAUAUCUAAACAUCUACUGUGACCUGGUAACUGGUAAUAAAUCCUCACUCCUGUAUCGUGUCCAUGAUGGUGCUGAAGUCUCAGAGUCUCAGGAUGAAAAGUUUUCAGGACGAGUUCAGAGUGACAAAGACGCCCUCAGAGAAGGACGAAUCAGACUCCAGCUGUGCAGACUCAGGACUGAGGACUCGGGACAAUGCAGAUGUAAUGUGUACACAGAUUAUGGCUUCAGCUCUGCGAGUUGCAGACUCAACGUCACUGCAGCUGCUGAUCAGCUCACAACUCAGAGACCAACUUCACCACCACAAGAAGAGAGAGACUGGAAGAUUAUUAUAAUUGUCCUGACAGCAGCAGCAGCAUUAUUAUUAUUAUUAGCUGUGCUGAUUGUGUGCACUUUACUUUGUGUUAAGUUCAGAAAGAAGUGCCAAACUUCUGGACAGCUGUAAAGUUUCAUAAACUCUCAGGGACAGAGUCACUAAACCAAGCCUUUUUGGCCAGCGUGAAGGGAGUAUCUGCCAUCAAACAAGAAGUCACCAACAUUAAAUAAAUAUGCUAAGUUAAAUGUUUGCAUUUACAAGCAGUUGAAUGGGUGUACCCAGUGUUAAGUAUAAAGUGAAUAUUCAUCACUCAAAUCUGGAGGUGUGCUGCGUAUUUUGUAAAUUUCCUCCCAGGGAUGAAAAACAUUCACUCAUCUCAUCCUGUAAUAACAGAUUAUAACACGAAUAUCAAAAGUAACUGAAGGUAAAACACAAAGAACAAUCUGCUGUCUGAACAGUGAAGUCACAGGACCGUUAGCUCAUGAAUUCAUAAAACAGGAAAAAUCUGAGGCUCCUUUGUUUCACAACACAUUAAAAAGAAAACCAACCAUGUUUUUCUUGUGUUGGUUUAUUUUAUUUGUGAUUUUCAUACGUUUGUUAUUUCACAGGCUCCACAUUCCCUCUGAACAAUGUACAAGGUGUAUAUGUGUUUAUACACAUCAUUGAAUGAUAUGGUUUUAAGUUACACUUGAGUCAACUAGAGCUGUACUAGUUUGGAUACACGGGUGUAUUUCUAUUAAAGAUAUUUCCUUUAUUA